ACCCAAAGCUGGGAUCCAAUCGCGACGCCGCCUCCCCCGCGGUAAUCCAAUCGCGACGCCGCCUCCCCCGCGGUCAAGCCUGGGCGCAGUAAUCCCCCGCCCGUCGCGCCUCCCCCACCGUGCCAUGCGAAGCAGCCCCGCCGCCGGCGCAAGCCGGACCGCGCGCGCCUCCCCUGCCGUCGUGCAGCCAUGGCGAGAAGGGGAGUGUGGAGGCCGAGCAGGAGGAAUGCCUCGCCCCUGGCGACAGAAGGCGGACGCUGCGGAUGGCGGGGCGGAAGACGGGCACUCGCCACGUCGGCCGCGGGCGGCGGCGGCGCCGGCGGCGGGUUCUACGGCUUCCCCUUCAAUGUCGCUGCGCUCCAGGUCAUAGCGCAAGAUCCCCUUCCCUAGCGCAAGAUCACCUUCCCCCCCGCCGCCCGGCUCCUACCCCGACUUCCAGCGCCUGCUCCCAGCCGCGGACGCGCUCCAGAAGGGCCAAGCGCCACGCCGGCGACGAGCCUCGGACAGCGAUGGCGACGACGACGUUCCAGGCUGCGCCGCCGCCGUGCGACCUCGCCAUGCCCCGUCCACGCCUUCGCCUGCUUCGCGCCGCUGGAGGCCGCGCGCCGCGCCGCUGCCGCCGAUUCCGAGCUCCUCGUGCGCACGGGCCCCGCCCACUGCGGCUCCCUUCGUUGUGGGAACCUCUGGGCACCCGACGCCUUCGCCGUCACCUGACGCGACCCCGCCGCGCCCUGGGGGGCUCGACUUCGUGGUCGACCCGCUUGACGGAACCUGCCGCCUGGCCUUCUCUUGCGAUGCCGCCUUCGCGUUCCCGGGCUCCCGCGGGGCCUCCGGCAUGCUGCGCUGCGCCGUCAAGCUCGAGUUCUCCUUCCUUGAUGUCGCCGAGGUCCUGGCAUUCCACGAUUCGUCCUCCUCCAGUUCUCGGCUGCGCCCUUGCUGUACUACCGCAAGGCGGCCGACGACAUUCACCAGCCACUGUUGUCUGACCUGCUCGACAACGACCCGUGGAUACGGACGACCGACAUCAGCCCCUGCGUUAGGGCUCCUGAAAACACUCCAUAGGAAAUAAAGAGAUUGAGGGAUAGGUUGCGCUAUGCCAAUAUGUCUGAUGAGGCUAAAAAGGAAAAGAUCUCAAGAAGAAUCUGAACCGUACCAUUAUCAGAGGGGGUGUCAUUAUGUUAUGGUUUGUUUGUUCUAUAAUCCUGCUUUGCUAAUCAGCUAUGUCUUGAAAAUGCUUCAGUUCAGUCAAAAAUUACCAAGAUCGCCAGUGCUUAGGUCACCAGAAGUGUGUCAAAUGGUUAUUAAUUCCAAACUACAGACUACUGAGCAUUGGACAGCAACGGCGACAUGGAGAUGGAGGUCGAAAGCGAGUUCAACAACCGCGAUGCUGACUCAAGGGACAACGUUGUCGACGACGACACAUGCUCGCUGAUGAUUGGUAAGGCAGGAUAGGGAACACAUGGCCCAGGGUGAUCUAAGAACCGGCUCAGUUCCUUGUAAGGUGGAUUGCAGGUUACCAUGAACAUGAAGCUCUCCUCCAAGAAAAUGAAGACUUAUAAAGGAUGAACAAGACAUGGCCUUGUCAGAGUGAGAGGCUUUGAGGAAAACAAUUAAACACCAAAUAGAGUAUGAUGGCUUGGAUAAGGUUUGAAAAACAUUUAAACACCAAUCGGAGUAUGAUGGCUUGAUAAGGUUUCUAUCCGGGGUCAUGUUUAUUUUUGUUUGUGUUGGCCAAAACUGAUUCUUUGAAUGAUCUUGUUUAUUUGCUUGUGGUCGAGUAGGUCAACCCAGCUCUGUCUGCAAUUAGGUGUCUAAUCCACUCUCAGGAUGAGGAGGUCCUAACUGAUGCCUGAUGGGCUGUUUUAUGCCUAUCUAAUGGACGUAAUGACAAGAUCCGAGCUGUGAUUGACUCUGACGUUUUCCCCACCUUAUGGAAAUUCUAGUGUAAUUGCAAUUUUCAGUAGUCAGUUUUCCUUCCAAUGUUCUAAUAUGGCAAAUGAUUGAAGUCCUAACUCCUAAUGACACUAUGAUUUCAGGUCGGUAUUAGUCAUUUUAUUUUGUUUUGCACAUAUGGAUUUACUUUUUCUUGAAAUUGUACAUCUGCAGUUCCAAUCCGAUUUGUGCCACAAUAAAAUUACAGUAACAGAUCAAGAAGAACUAAAUUAGCAAAGCUUCCUGAUUGUUUGUAUUACCACAGUACGGUAUGAGUUUGUGAUUACAUUUCUCUUAGACAUGAAUUAUGUUCCAGAGAAAUUGGGAAGCAGGUUUAGUUUAUGCAAAAUUGGGAAGAUGUGUUUUUCGGGUGAAUGACAUCACUCACUCUGGUGCAGAGAUGGCAGUGGUUUUAGUUUUGUUUCGUCCUACUAUGGCACCUUUCUCAUUUAUAGACUUGUUAGCUAUUGCUUUCAUCAUCUUUCCUCAUUCACCUCUUUCAAAAGAAUUGUGUGACUAAAUGCUUUGUUAAUGCAAAUAAAUGAUUUAUUGAGGGGUAUAACUCUGGGCAUCCUGGCUUUAAAAGAAUAGGCAAUGGACAAUAUACUCGUGUCAACAAUGGGCAUUCUGGCUUUGUUAAUGCUUUGUCGAUAUUUUGAUUUUUGGAAAUAUACUCGCAUGCUCCUUUGGAAUCGUCUUUUUUUAUAUAUAGCUACCUAGCCAUUGUUUACGGUCACAAAAAAAAAACAAAGAAGUAGGCAAAGAUGGCUUACUGCGCAAGUUCGUGUGCAUGGAAGAGGCUCUUGGCUUGGCUAAUGGAUCCGUAGUUGAUGUUUUUGCUGUUGUGGCUUCUGUUGGUCCUUUGAACCCCCCCCCCCCCCCCCCCCCCCCACUGCUCCCUUUAUCCAUUAGUCACACGGGAGAUUUGUUUGAUAGACUCCAGGUUGGUAUUUCUAAUUGAUGAAAUGUAUUUUGCGAAUCAGUUUUGAAUCCCAAUAGUUGAAUAGUUAUUUAUGCCUUGCUUUUGUUGCAGUCGCAUUGGAUUCCUUCGUAUUGUCUCCAACUAUUCCCAGGGCACAGGAUUGGAAUUCCUCGAGGAAGAAAUCCAUAACAAAUUUCUCAUGGCAACUAAAGUCAGUGAAAAUAGUGAUAGAGGUUGCCCCGUGGAUUCAGAUGACACGGUGAUCACUUAUAGUAGAACUUGGUACAUCCCCUUCCAUUGCAAAGCUUGAAGCUAUCAGAAUUGAACUAUGUACGGAUGUUAUGUCCCAUGAUGCAGUUAAAAGGGUCAUUGCCCUCAGAGAAGAUUGGAUCAAGAAUUUACACUCAGCCUCAAGAGUCUCAAGCGGUGGUGCAUCCGUGCGCUAUAUAUAUCAUUAUUUAUUCUGGAUUAGAAUUGUAAUUGUAACGAUAUCAUGCCAGUUCAGUUUGGAUUAGAUGCCGUUGAGUAGCUCCCCAUGGUAUGGAUGAUUGGUAGAUGUGGACACGUGUCUCCCUUUCGUGGACUUUAUUUGGUCAAUAAAGAAGUCGGCCAUGGUAUUUUGAUUUUGAUA